AGGGGAAUAUUGCACAAUGGGCGCAAGCCUGAUGCAGCCAUGCCGCGUGUAUGAAGAAGGCCUUCGGGUUGUAAAGUACUUUCAGCGAGGAGGAAGGCGUUGUGGUUAAUAACCGCAGCGAUUGACGUUACUCGCAGAAGAAGCACCGGCUAACUCCGUGCCAGCAGCCGCGGUAAUACGGAGGGUGCAAGCGUUAAUCGGAAUUACUGGGCGUAAAGCGCACGCAGGCGGUCUGUCAAGGCGGAUGUGAAAUCCCCGGGCUCAACCUGGGAACUGCAUCCGAAACUGGCAGGCUAGAGUCUUGUAGAGGGGGGUAGAAUUCCAGGUGUAGCGGUGAAAUGCGUAGAGAUCUGGAGGAAUACCGGUGGCGAAGGCGGCCCCCUGGACAAAGACUGACGCUCAGGUGCGAAAGCGUGGGGAGCAAACA
rnacentral:rRNA from 1 species